AACAAGCAUCAGUUCAGGCAGCGCAGUGACACAGUUCGAGAAAUUCAGCUUUGUUCUUUCAGUAUCACAACUUUGCAAGUCCACUAGUACCACAAAUCAGCCUCCACUCUCCAGCAGCGCAGCAAGACCAAGAAGAAAAGAAGAUAUGGCUGGUCCGGCGAAGGCGUCGUGGAUGGUGGCCAUGAGCGUCAUGUACCUCAGCUGCUGGGGCCCAAAUUAGCAGCUGCCUACAUGGUACUAGUUAGGCGUGUCAGUGUUUGCUGCAACAACCAUGGCCUAUCUGGUUGGCCUUCCGUGGAAUCCCCCAUUGUAAAAUACCACGAUGAUGAUGAUGAAAAAUGCUGUUAUUUGAGCCAAUGUUUAUUUGCUUAUUUAUUAUCUUGUGAGGAAUAUGCAUACAUGCUCUGAUUUGGUUUCUACAUGCUCUGAUUUGGUUUCUACUUGCAACCCAAACAGAAGUUACACAACACUUGACAAAUCGUAGCCAAUUGUAACGGUCACCGAAUCAAGGACCUAGUGGCAGCACACUGAAUAGGUUUAGAUCCAUUUUUCAGUGUCCAACAAGAGGAUUUGGGGAUACAGGGACAGCAAGAAGAGGAGAGCAUGCGAGUUCUAUCUUAGUUCUGAAUAUCAAUCUUCAGUUAGUGCAGUGGCCCAGCCGACGGGCUCGACACAAACGUGCUGAAUUUCUUCAGUCUGCGGCACUUCGUUAAAGUGACACACGCGAUGAAUCCUCGUAUCUGUACUCAAGGUGUCAUCAAGCAACCAAUCCAUUUAUAGUACUUAUCAGUUUUGUUGGUGGACCUGCCUUCGGUUGCUUUGUUAGUACAAAGCGAGACCAAACGAGAAGUACUUCGGAUUGGUUGAAAGUACUUUCUUUUUUCUUCUUUUUUGCGCAUAGGUUGAAGAAAGUACUUUCUUUUUUCUUCUUUUUUGCGCAUAGGUUGAAGAAAGUACUUUCUUUUUUCUUCUUUUUUGCGCAUAGGUUGAAGAAAGUACUUUCUUUCUUCUUCUUUUUUGCGCAUAGGUUGAAGAAAGUACUUUCUGUGGCUCCAGUCGACCUGAUAUGCGACGAGGUCGAACGAAUAUAUUUUGAAUUUCUUUGUUGUAUAUUCGCUAAACUGACAGAGUAGUAAUUAAUUCAACUAAACAUGAUACAACUCUAGGUUAGACCACAUGUCCACAUUAAUAAAUAAACGUGCUUUCUGAUCACAGCUAUCACAGAGUGAGGCACGUCAAAGUUACUCCGUAAGGUUCCACUGAAAGAACAAGUGUUUUAUUGUUUUAUCAUCUAUAUCUAUACCAAUAUUAAAAGACCCAAACGGGCAGAUUUAAUUAAUCUUAUCCAUUAAAUCAUGUCAAUCCAACGACCUAGACUGCUUUAAUGUCGAGCGCUUAACAUGUUUAGCAUGUACUCCCUCAUUAAACUAAUAUAAGAGUGUUUAGAUCACUAUUCUAGUUUAUGGAGGGAGUAGUUAAUUUCAUGCCAAAAAUAGUGAUAAUCACGUAAUACCACGCAAAUAAUAUCUUACUUAAUAUCCGCAUGCACUUAAUAUACUUGCAAAUUAACGUGCAUUGCACGUACACAUUGACUAGUGAUGACAAAAGACACAUUACGUAUUUCCAUUCAAAUUCCUCUUAAUAACGUUAUCUUUGGUAAGAAUGACUCCUCGACGAAGAUAGCACGCAAAGAUUUUAUUCUUAAGCGGUAUCUUUAUCUUCAAUAUCUUCUUCUUAUUAUUAUCAACUGGCACAUCAGAUUUGAUCAACGCUCUAUACACUGAAUCUUCCGAGAAUUUCCCACUCCAUUUAGAUUCCACAGAAAUUCAUCGACUCCAUGUGAUAAAUGUACCGUAGCGAGACGAUUUAUCAAAUCAUCCACCAUGCAAGUCUGGGGCCUAUUAAAUCUCGUCCGAACGUCAUAUUCAGAGGAAAGGAUUCCAGAACAGAAGUUACUUCCAAUUAAUAAGCUGAUCGAUAUAAGAUAAAAAAAAUACUUACAACUAAGAUAAACAAAUUAUCCUCCAGAAACUUGUACUAAGAUAUUUGUUAGCCGCUUAUAUUAUAGAACUCUGUAGAAAAAUAUUAAAAGGUAAUAAAAUAUACGCAUAAAUAAAAUUAUUUUAUAUAUGAAUGCUCAUCUAUUGUAAAUGGUGUACUCUCUCCAAUAAAGAAUAAGUGUCUUAAAGUAGAACUACGACUCUUAUUUUGGAUCGGAAGGAGUAUCAAUUUAAAACAAAUUAUGUAUAGUAAAUUUGAUAUAUAAAAUAAUAAAAGUGUUUGGUAUAAAUAAGUUAUAACUAUUGGCGGAACCAAAGGUUUACCAGAGUGAUGGGCGACGGCAUUGCUAGAUUAGUUUGUUCCCAUUGGUCACUCUUAUGCCUAGGAGUUUGGUUCCCCCGAACCGUUCGAGUUGUUAAUUCGGUGUUUAGAAAAAUUUCGUUGUGCAGAAUCACGCACUGAUCGGUUAAUGGGGAAAGCACUGACCGAUGUUUUUGUGCAUUGUGAGUUUGGGCCAAUAAUCGGUCCUAACCGAACAACACCGAUCAUUUAAUAAUACCAGGAAAAAGUAUACAAUUUCCUCAUUUUUGGCUGAACAAAGGCUUAGGCUACAGUUUUCUCAUGUCAAAACCACAUCACCAAAUUAAAUAAGUUAUUUACUGUUUUCUAAGCAAACCACACCACCAACUUAGGUGCAAUUGAAUCAAGUUAAUCAGGACAUAAGUUAGAGUGGGAAACAAAGUUUAAGUUCGUCAGGUGCGGAGUAUCAGCAGGCGGCUGCGCAGACCAUGUAUUAUAUUUUAUACUAUCUUUUAUGAAAUAUAUAUUUUGCUCCAUCAAUUUUCAAAGUAUAAAACAAAAAUGUUGAAAAAUUCUGGUCUCCCAACUGUCAAAUUGUCCAGAGUUGCAUUUUAUCUAUUUGUUGUCUUACCAUAAAGUUGAAACGAUAAAUUUGCAUGCAUGAAAUUAAACUCAUAUUAUUCCUGACGAAAAAAAUAUGAUUCCUAACUAUUGUCAAAGCCAAAUUUGGCUUCGCAUAUUCAACACAAAAAAAAAUCUUUGUCUAUCAAGUGUUAAAACCGUCGAAAUUUUUAUUUCGUCCCAUUGAAAAGGAUUUUGACAAUGUUGUGGCAAUGGUUUUGCAUUCAUAUCACCAUAGUUUUUUUAUAUAGUUUGGGAAAGAUAUGAUAAUAGAAUAGUGUAACAUUAGAAAAAAUCGAAGCAACUAGAAAGAAAAGUAGGGAAAAACAAGUCAAAAUUUCAGACAAUUGACAAGCAAUAUGUUUAUUUUAGGAAUUUGCAAGUCUAUAUAAAAUAACAAUGGAAAUGAAGAACUUCGUGAAAAAUCGGUAAAACUGAAGGAACCUGCGAACAAUCUGGAAUAUAUCAAAAUUUAUUAAACCUAAAAUCAAUUUAAAAUGUGAAGAAUUAUGUUUCUUGAAAAAAUAAAUAUUUUGAAUUUUAUCAGAUUCCGUCAUUUUUAGAAUAUUUGUGAUAAUUACUCAAUUUCAAAAUUCCUAAAAUAUUACUUUGAUUUUUAUGUUUUUCUAAAAGUAUUUUAAUUUCCCCACUUUAUUCAUGCUGUUUUCCAAGUGUUUGAGGUGCUGCUUUCCAUGUUUAUUUGCACACUUAGCUAAACCAUGUGCAAAACUCGGGAAGAUGAGAAAUUAGAAAAGUUAAUAUUGAAAAAGCGCACGCAACUAGAAAGUAAAACUUGGGGAAAACAAGUCAAAAUUCCAUACAUUUAGUGAACAAUAUGUUUAUGAUAGGAAUUUGCAGGCCUAUAAAAAUGAUCAAAAUUGAAGGAAUUUAGACACUUAGCUACGACAUGUGCAAACCACCUCUAUGGCAACUUCAAAACCGCUUUCUAUGAAGCAGUUAAACUAUUUUCGACAAACUUGACGUUUGAUGGACAAAAAGAAAUUUGGACUAUACUUAGAGCAUCUACAGCCGCAAACACUAAAUCCGGCCCCUCAAACGACUGCGGACGUGCAUGGGUGCGUUCGUGGGCAGUGAUUAGGCAGCCCUCAAAUUUCCUUCUCUGCACCCGAAUAUCUCAUAUUUAAAACCUUAAAUACAUACCAAGUAUGCAAAACGAAAACUUGCGCACUACGUAGAUCAACUAAAUCCUACACUAUCCUAAUCCUUGUCGUCGGAGAUGUCCACGAUCUUCAUGCCAGGCAACGGGUACAUAGGCGGCAGCUGCAACUCCGUCUCCCGUGCGUCGACCUCCACCUCUAGUUUGACAGAAAGCAUGUCGGUCUUUGCUUGUUUCUGCCGGAUGAAGCGCCGGUUGGCAUCCACAUCGGACUCCAGGAUGGUGGUAUGCUCCGCCAUCUAUGUUGCUUGGGCGAUCUCGAACUCCGCCAUGGCGCCUUCCAUGACAAAGCCCGCAACCAGCUUCAGCUCCGCCGCGUACUCCUCCGGCCCAUCCGGAUCCGUCCCCACCAUGGGUCUGGCUGCUGCUCCUCCUCCGGAUCCGGCGAGUCCAGAGGUAGGCCGGUUGCGAGCCGGGCGACGUGCCUAGCCCAAAUCCCCUCGAGCAGCUAGAAAUGCCGCUCCGGAGUUAGCAUAGUGUAUGUGGUUUUUUUCUUCUGCCGGGUCAUGGGGAGACAGACGGCGAGGGAAAAGAGAGGCGGAGAGGGAGAGAAGUGGAUGGGCUCGGGCUGUCGGCACGGAGAGGGAGGAAGCGGAUGUGGCUAGGGCUGCGAGACCUUUGAACAGCUUAAAUAGCAGGAUUUUGGCCCUCUCGCAGCGAGCCGGAGCGGCGCCAUGCGACAUUCACACCCCCACCGAAGGAGACGCAUGUUGGACCGUCGGGUUUCCGGACAAUUACAUGUGGGACCCGAUCGUCAGUUCGACACGGCGACCGUGUCCUGGCCGCCCCAUACCUGCUCCAGAAUUGGUCCGAAUAUGAGAGAAUGCCGGUCAGCCUGGGCAUUUGACAUCGGUUUGAGGCAUCCGAGUGGGUUGGAUUUUUUUGAUCCGGUCAGUGACCGGGACGCCAGCCGGACGCUUGAGACAGUUUUGAGGGACCAUAGAGGCUCUUGGUCGAGUGACCAUGGAUGCUAUUUGUAAGACGAUUACUUUUUAUUCUCGCAAUAAAAUUUGAUUCUGCUCACUGAAUAUUGACACACGUUAUCUAUGCCUCAUUCCGAUCUUAUUUCUGUCGGCGUGUGUCAAAGCGAAACUCUCGCAAUGGACAAAAACCGCUACUUCCACGGCAAAUAAACAAAACGACACGGCAGCGAUAGGUGUGACGUGCACAAGCAGAGUAGCAGCAGAGUGACCCCUCCGAAAGCACCCGGUAUCCCUGAAAACCAACGUCCGCGACCACUGUUUUGCUGCAGACAUCCCAAGCCUCCCUCCUGUAUAUAACCUCGUUCCAAUCCCACUCUUCCUCUCAUCAACAAAUUACACAAGCAUCAAUCAGCCUUCAGCUCAAAAUUCAUUCCAUACUCCACACUCGACUGCUAGCUACCAAUCUCCAGGCAUCACAUAGUUCGGACGGAUCAAGCAGUUGUACUGCCUCCACCAACGCAGAGAAAGAUCAUGGCGGGUGCGGCGAAGGCGUCUUGGAUGGUGGCGAUGAGCGUGGGCGCCGUGGAGGCCCUCAAGGAUCAGGCUGGACUCUGCCGCUGGAACUACGCGCUCAGGUCCAUCCACCGGACUGCCAAGGCCAGGGCCAACGUCCACGGCGCCGUCUCUCAAGGCUCCAAGCAGCUUCCGGCCUCCGCCGCAGCCGUGGCGGAGAAGCAGCGAGCCGAGAAGGCCGAGGAAGGGCUGAGGACGGUGAUGUACCUCAGCUGCUGGGGGCCAAAUUAGCAGCUGCAGCUUGGUACAGCAGCUGCAGCUUGGUACUAGCUAGGCGUGUUAGUGUUUGCUGCAACAACCAUGGCCUGAAAUCUGUCUGGCUUCCCGUGGAAUCCCCCGUUGCAAAAUACCACCACAAUGAUGAUGAUGAAAAAUGAUGUUACUUGAGCCCAUGUCUAUUUGCUUAUUUAUGAUCUUGGUGAGGAAUAUGCAUACAUGCUCUGAUUUGGUGUCUGCUUACAACCCAGCAAAUUGUGACGGUCAACGGGUCAAGGACCUAGUGGCAGGACACUGAGUAGGGUCAGAUCAAAUUUUCAGUGUCCAACAAGAGGAUUUGGGGAUACAGGGACAGCAAGAAGAGGAGAGCAAGUGAGUUCUAUCUCAGUUCUGAAUACCAAUCUUCAGUUACAUACAGUAGGCAUCAGCCUCCAACCUGGACACGGCCACCUCACGCACACGCAACACAAUGAUUUGCUAAGCAGGCUGGGUUGUCUCCGUUUCCCUUCGAUCUUUAGUUAAUACAGUGGCCCGGCCCACGGGCGCGACACAAACAUGCUGAAUUUCUUCCAUCUGCGGCACUUUGUUAAAGUGACACACGCGAUGAAUCCUCGUAUCUGUGCUCAAGGUGUCAUCAAUCAACCAAUCUAUUUACUGUACUUAUAACUUAUAAGUUUUGUUGGUGGACCUGUCUUCGGUUGCUUUGUUACUCCAAAACGAGACCAAACGAGAAGUACUUUGAAUUAGGUCAUGGCGAAUAUGUUCUGAAUUUCUCCGUUGUAUAUUCGCUAAACUGACACAAUAGAAACAUGAUACCUCUUCAGGUUAGACCACAUUAAUAAGUAUCACAGAGGGAGGCACAUCAAAGUUACUCCGUAUCUUGAACUAAAAAAAGUUACUCCGUAUCUUUCUACCAGCAAUUUUGGAUUUUUCCCUAGGGCCAUGAAACCAAAAGAGAAGAAAAAUAAAUAAAAUCAGACUUUCAGAUAAUAGGUACAAUCGGCUGCACAGUAGUUCCUUCCAAUUAAUUAAGCUGAUUGAUAACUAACUGUCCUUGGCUCGGGCCAGUGCCGCGGAAGUUCUGCUUCCCGUCUCUCUUCAAACACUCGAGGCGUAAGGGCAGAACUGUGGCACAAGCUAUCACUGACGACCGCUGGGUCUUGGACCUUGCACACGGCAACAACAGCAACCUUGUCAGCGAGGUUCUUGAUCUGCAUCGUCUCAUUCAGCGCCGGCAGCUCAACUUCCAGGCCGAAGAUCAGGACCAGAUCCGCUGGAACUUGGAGGGAUCAGGUCAGUACAGCUCCCGCUCGGCCUACGCCCUCCAGUUCUUGGGCUCGACGACGGGCAUGUUCCAGGCCAUGAUCUGGGCCAUCUGGGCUCCGGCGAAGCUUAAGAUGUUUGCGUGGCUCCUCCACCAGAACCGGCUGUGGUGCAAUGACCGUCUCCAACGUAGGGGCUGGCCAAACUCCUACUUUUGCCAGCUCUGCCUCAGGAACCUGGAGACCUCGGCUCAUCUGUUCUGGAGCUGCCCGUUCACGAAGACAGUAUGGACUAGCUUGUCCUCUUGGCAGCACUGCCAGGGGCUAAGUAAGGCGUGUCUGCCCAACGAAUGCAGCUCCCUGGAAAAGGUCGAAGCCAUGGUUUCAGCAACAGGGCCAGCACAUGCGAAAGGAAUCAAGUCGCUGAUCAUGCUGGUGCUUUGGAAAAUCUGGCAAGAGCGCAACAACCGCGUUUUCAGAAAGAAAGAGGCUACGGUGCAAGCGGUGAUCAAUGACAUCAGGAGAGAGCUCUGUCUUUGGCAACAGGGCGGUUUCAAAUCCAUUCUGAGCCCCUUCGGGGAUCCUCCAUGAGAUAGUAGUCUUAGAUCCGGGUGCCUCAGGCACCAAGGCUUUUUCCUUCUUUUUGUUUACCUCCUUGAUCCCAGGAUCAUCGCCUUUGUCACUUUGUCAUCUGCUCCCUGCUUAACCAAUGAAACCCCAGCCAUGGCUGGCUCGUUCAAAAAAAAAACUAACUGUCCUCCACAAAGCUUUACUAAGAUAUUUGUUAGCCGCUUAUGUUAUAGAACUCUAUAGCAAGAUAUUCAAAGAUAAUAAACUAGACACAUAAAUAAAAUUAUGUUGUAUAUGAAUGUUCAUCUAAUUUUCCUCUUAUAUGGAUGGAAUUUAACUUACUUAAAAGUCCCAAACAUAUUUGGAAAAAAUAAUAGAAGUUUUACAACAAAUUGGAGUUGCUUUGUCAUUAUAGUAAUCUCAAUAGUUUUUUUAUAAUAUUUAACUCUAAGUUACUACUUGGGGUUCAUGUUGUUAGGUAUAGUAGACAUUUUUUUUGUAAAUGUUGUACUCUCUCCUAUCAAACAUAAGUGUCUUAAAAUAAAACUAUGACACUUAUUUUGGAUCGGAAGGAGUAUCAAUUUAAAAUAAAAUUAUAUAUAGUAAAUUUGAUAUAUAAAAUAAAUAAAGUAUUUGGUAUAAGUAAGUUAUCUGGCGGACGACGAGGAUGCUAGCCAUGACGGCUGCGUCCCGGCGGACGACGAGGUUGGUGCCGCCCAUGGUGGCUGCAUCUCGGCGAACGACGAGGUUUGUGCCGCCCAUGGUGGAGGACCGGGCGGAAGUGGAGGCCGACCAGAUGGAGGGGGUGGUGGUUGCUACCUCUUGAGCAUGCGUUGGUUUUCCCUUGAAGAGGAAAGGGUGAUGCAGUAAAGUAGCGUAAGUAUUUCCCUCAGUUUUUGAGAACCAAGGUAUCAAUCCAGUAGGAGGCCACAUGCAAGUCCCUCGUACCUACACAAACAAAUAAAAACCUUGCAACCAACACGAUAAAGGGGUUGUCAAUCCCUUCACGGCCACUUGCAAAAGUGAGAUCUGAUAGAGAUGAUAAGAUAAUAUUUUUGGUAUUUUUAUGAUAAAAAUUAAAAGUAAAGAUUGCAAAAUAAACGGCGACAGAAAUAGCUAGUUGACAGGAGAUUAAUAUGAUGGAAAAUAGACCCGGGGGCCAUAGGUUUCACUAGUGGCUUCUCUCAAGAUAGUAUAAGUAUUACGGUGGGUGAACAAAUUACUGUCGAGCAAUUGAUAGAAAAGUGCAUAAUUAUGAGAAUAUCUAGGCAUGAUCAUGUAUAUAGGCAUCACGUCCGCAACAAGUAGACCGACUCCUGCCUGCAUCUACUACUAUUACUCCACACAUCGACCGCUAUCCAACAUGCAUCUAGAGUAUUAAGUUCAUAAGAACAGAGUAACGCAUUAGGCAAGAUGACAUGAUGUAGAGGGAUAAACUCAAGCAAUAUGAUAUAAACCCCAUCUUUUUAUCCUCGAUGGCAAUAAUACAAUACGUGUCGUUUCCCCUUCUGUCACUGGGAUCGAGCAACGCAAGAUUGAACCCAAAGCUAAGCACUUCUCCCAUUGCAAGAAAGAUCAAUCUAGUAGGCCAAACCAAACUGAUAAUUCAAAGAGACUUGCAAAGAUAACCAAUCAUACAUAAAAGAAUUCAGAGAAGAUUCAAAUAUUGUUCAUAGAUAAUCUUGAUCAUAAACCCACAAUUCAUUGGAUCUCGACAAACACACCGCAAAAAGAGUUACAUCGAAUAGAUCUCCAAGAAGAUCGAGGAGAACUUUGUAUUGAGAUCCAAAUAGAGAGAAGGACCCAUCUAGCUAAUAACUAUGGACCCGAAGUUCUGUGGUAAACUACUCACACAUCAUCGGAGAGGCUAUGGUGUUGGUGUAGAAGCCCUCCGUGAUCGAUUCCCCCUCCGGCGGAGUGCCGGAAAAGGCCCCAAGAUGGGAUCUCGCGGGUACAGAAGGUUGCGGCGGUGGAAAUAGGGUUUCAUGGUGCUCCUCGAUGGUUUCGGGGUACAUGGGUAUAUAUAGGAGGAAGAUGUAGGUCGGUGGAGCCACGAGGGGCCCACGAGGGUGGGGGCGCGCCCGGGGGGGGGGAGGGAGGUGCGCCUCCCUGCCUCGUGGCCUCCUCGUUGAUUUCUUGACGUCCACUCCAAGUCCUCUGGAUCACGUUUGUUCCAAAAAUCACACUCCCGAAGGUUUCAUUCCGUUUGGACCUGCUUGGUAUUCCUUUUCCGCGAAACACUGAAAUAGACAAAAAAACAGCAAUUUGCACUGGGCCUUGGUUUAGUAGGUUAGUCCCAAAAAUAAUAUAAAAGUGUAUAAUAAAGUCCAUUAAAUAUCCAAAACAGAAUAUAUAAUAGCAUGGAGCAAUAAAAAAUUAUAGAUACGUUGGAGACGUAUCAGUGGUGUCGCGCCGUGCGCCAGCGUUGGGUGAUCGAUAAGACCCAAAGACGAAGACGGUGGCGUCGGGCCGUGCGAAACCAGAGGCAUCGGGCGCGCGUCAGUGCCGCAUGAUGAUGGUGAUGGCAUGCCAUAGGGAUGGUCAUUCGGCGCUGGGGCCGUCUGGCUGUGGUGGUGAACCUGCGGUGGUCGGCCUGUCUUGCCGUGCUGGUUGUGCGGUGUGUUGGAAAUAUGCCCUAGAGGCAAUAAUAAAUGGUUAUUAUUAUAUUUCUUUGUUCAUGAUAAUAGUCUAUUGUUCAUGCUAUAAUUGUAUUAUCCGGAAAUCGUAAUACAUGUGUGAAUACAUAGACCACAAUAUGUCCCUAGUAAGCCUCUAGUUGACUAGCUCGUUGAUCAACAGAUAGUCAUGGUUUCCUGACUAUGGACAUUGGAUGUCAUUGAUAACGGGAUCACAUCAUUAGGAGAAUGAUGUGAUGGACAAGACCCAAUCCUAAGCAUAGCAUAAAAGAUCGUGUAGUUUCGUUUGCUAGAGCUUUUCCAAUGUCAAGUAUCUUUUCCUUAGACCAUGAGAUCGUGCAAGUCCCGGAUACCGUAGGAGUGCUUUGGGUGUGCCAAACGUCACAACGUAACUGGGUGACUAUAAAGGUGCACUACGGGUAUCUCCGAAAGUGUCUGUUGGGUUGGCACGGAUCGAGACUGGGAUUUGUCACUCCGUGUGACGGAGAGGUAUCUCUGGGCCCACUCGGUAAUGCAUCAUCAUAAUGAGCUCAAUGUGACUAAGGCGUUAGUCACGGGAUCAUGCAUUGCGGUACGAGUAAAGAGACUUGCCGGUAACGAGAUUGAACAAGGUAUUGGGAUACCGACGACCGAAUCUCGGGCAAGUAACAUACCGAUUGACAAAGGGAAUUGCAUACUGAUUGAUUGAAUCCUCGACACCGUGGUUCAUCCGAUGAGAUCAUCGUGGAACAUGUGGGAGCCAACAUGGGUAUCCAGAUCCCGCUGUUGGUUAUUGACCAGAGAGGCGUCUCGGUCAUGUCUGCAUGUCUCCCGAACCCGUAGGGUCUACACACUUAAGGUUCGGUGACGCUAGGGUUGUAGAGAUAUAUGUAUGCGGAAACCCGAAAGUUAAGUUGUUCGGAGUCCCGGAUGAGAUCCCGGACGUCACGAGAGGUUCCGGAAUGGUCCGGAGGUGAAGAAUUAUAUAUAGGAAGUCAAGUUUCGGCCACCGGGAAAGUUUCGGGGGUUACCGGUAUUGUACCGGGACCACCGGAAGGGUCCCGGGGUCCACGGGGUGGGGCCACCUAUCCCGGAGGGCCCCGUGGGCUGAAAGUGGAAGGGAACCAGCCCUUAGUGGGCUGGGGCGCCCCCCUUGGGCCUCCCCCCAUGCGCCUAGGGUUGGGAACCCUAGGGGGGGAGCUUCCCCCUUGCCUUGGGGGGCAAGGCAACACUUUCCCCUCUUUGGCCGCCGCCCCCCCUUGGAGAUCCCAUCUCCCUGGGCCGGCGCCCCCAGGGGGCCUAUAUAAAGGGGGGGGGAGGGAGGGCAGCAACCUACAGCCUUGGGCGCCUCCCUCCUCCCCUGCAACACCUCUCUCUCUCUCGCAGAAGCUCGGCGAAGCCCUGCCGGAGAACCGCUACAUCCACCACCACGCCGUCGUGCUGCUGGAUCUCCAUCAACCUCUCCUUCCCCCUUGCUGGAUCAAGAAGGAGGAGACGUCGCUGCACCGUACGUGUGUUGAACGCGGAGGUGCCGUCCGUUCGGCACUCGGUCAUCGGUGAUUUGGAUCACGGCGAGUACGACUCCGUCAUCCACGUUCAUUGGAACGCUUCCGCUCGCGAUCUACAAGGGUAUGUAGAUGCACUCCCUUCCCCUCGUUGCUAGUAUACUCCAUAGAUGCAUCUUGGUGAACGUAGGAAAAUUUUAAAAUUAUGCUACGAUUCCCAACACGGUGGUCGGCCCGUUUGGAUGUGGCGUUGAGGGUGCUGAGAGUUGGGGGGAAACGACUGACCAUGGUGGUGGAGGAGGCCGUGGUCCUGACCGUACUGAAAGCGAGGGGCAGGUUGAAUCUGUGGUCGGAGAAGAGAAGGCGGUGCCAGAAGGAUUUGGUCCUGAAAGUGUUGGGCCGGGAGAAUCGGCGGCGCGGGCAGGAAGUUGGGACAAAGGUGAUCAGGGUGGACGCGUGGGGACGCGGCAGCAGCAUAGGACUGCCAGUGGCCGCCACAUGGCUGCCGGUGUGGGAGGGAAAGCUCGGAGCAUCGUAAGAUUUUGGGAAGGGGUUUUCUGAAUGGAUCCCCACCCCACAAAGGUGGAGGCGUCUUUGAAGCGUUCGGGGUGCGGGUGCAUGGAGCCAGACAGUAUAGCGAGCGAACUGCGAGGUGAAAAGCCUGACUACUUUUUCCUUUUCUUUUGGGGAGGGUAAAAGCAUUGCUAACAGUGGAUGCUAUCUUCUCCUAUCACUCUGUCUGUACUCGGUUUUUACCGUACAUCCUUCAAAGUACAUCCCUGUAUAUAACCUCCUCUUAGGGGGCGUUUGGUUUACAGGCUAUUCACCAUAGGGACAGGGAUAGACAAUUUUUUAGGGGAUAUCACUUGUUUGGUUUACUAGCCAGGAGGGAUAGGGAUAACCAGAUACUAGCGAAUAUUCCUUCAAAACGUGGUUGACGGGAGUCACGAGAUUAUGGCGGAUGAGGGCAGCCACCCGCGCUUGCGUGAAACGUUUUCCCAUGCGCGCCCUCUGUCGCGUGUCCGUGGCAAUCGGCCCGGCGGCGCUCUCGGAUGCCUCCGCCGCUGGCACACCACAGCCCACGCCGGCGCCCUGCUUGGCCGUCGGCCAAGGCCCUGCUCCUCGAGACGAGGCGAGCCGCGGGUGCUCCAUCCUUUCCAGGCAACUCGCCUCCCACUCUCGGCCAUGGCCCCUACCUCCAUCAACCCCCCUCUCUCGGCCUGUUGUGACCGUGGCUGGCGGGGAACGGGGAGCUCCGGCGGCUGGGAACGAGGAUCACUUGAGAUCUUCCAGCGGACACAUGUGACGCAGAUGGGGAGACCUCUGGUGGUGGGGAACAAGGAGAUCUCCUGUGGUUUGGAACGAGGAGAGCUUGCCUAUCUGUUGUCUAUAUGUAUGUGACAGUCUUUCAACUCUCCCGUUUUCUCGACAGGUAGCACAUAUGAACACUACUGAUUUAAUAGUAUGGACAAUCACCUGUAUGAUUGUACAAAGAAGAACAUGUAUACAUGUAUGAAUAUUUGGUAAAAAAAUUCGACAAAGGGUGGAUUUUAUUAACUCAAAAUGAAGGAUCAAGGGGAUACAAACACAUUGAGCACACACCCGGCCUCUGCAUAACCAGGAUGCACACAGCCAACACCAACACACACAAAAGAGAAAAAAAACGCCAGCAAAGAGCAAAGUCAUACAAGACUCAAGCUAUGCCUAAGCGAGGGAAAAGAAAAAGGAAAAAACACUCUGAAACGAUCAAAACAACGGUUGAUAAACUACAUCAACGACCAUAUCCGCACCAACCAUCUCUUGACAGAACAAGCGCAACGAGAAAGUUUCUUCAACAGCAACGCCUUCAGGAAGGAAACGACGCUUAAACGUCGCCGUCACUGGACCCGACCAACAAAGGUCAGACUCUAGGUUUUCACCCCGAAGAACAAGUCUGAGCACAUCCGAGCAAUGCCUUCAUCAAGGUAACGACGCAAAAACAUCGGCAUCGCCAGGUAUAACCAAUUCAGGCCAGACCUAGGGUUUUCACCCCGGAACUCGAGACCGGGUACUCGAGAAGCACCACCAAAUCAAAGUCAUCAUGUUGUCGCCACCACUUUCCGCGAUCCCAGCAGCUAAAGGUGAGGCACAGUCUUUACAUGCCGGCAUGGCUUGCCGCUGCACAACCAUCUCCUCUGCGUCAAGCCGUCGUCCAUAGAAUUUAUCUCACCGCUGAAUGCAAACUGGCCGGAUUGAGAGCCACCGAAACUCCCAAUGGAGCCUUCCGGUUACAUCACACAACCUCGCCAGUGCGAGCUGCUGGCAAUAACCAAUGGAUCCUAAGAAAAAACUCUCAUGAAGACCCUUGAAUGGCCACUGCAAUCUGCGGCUCGAGUGGCCGGACGGUGCCGCCAUGGUCAGGAUGAAAAUUGCCCCCUCGCAUCGAUCGGACGAACCACCUGCGGCCAAGUGACAAGCAUCGGUCAACCGAUGUAAGUCCCAAGGCGCCACCACCAACCUCCUUCGGCCUUGUGAUCUGUCGGCGGCAACAGCGGCGAGCGUCUUGGGUCGCUUGGGAAGAUGACCCUUAUCACCAACGCUGCCAUGCUCUGGACAGCCGGAGGAAGCUUCGGUCCGAACCUGCAUGAUCUUGACCGCAGGCUGCUGGAGGAGAAUGGAUGGUCAUCUCCACCCAGGCCAUUGCCAAGGCAUCACUAUGCUGCCCAGUUCAGAUUCCCAGAUCGCUCUAGCCAUUGACCUAUGCAUGUCCCUGUGCACAGAUCGCCUGCCGCUGCAUGUCCAUGCGCAGAUCGCUCUAGCCUUCGGACGUUGCAUGAAGAUCGCUGCUGAGUUGUUGUUCACCUCGCGCGCCGUUCAGCGCCUUGCGUAGAAGCCAUCGCCCGGAGCCCCGCUGCCGCCGUCAGCCACACAGGCUUUGCUCGGCAGCGUCGUUCGGCGGCGGCGAGGGAAGCGAGAGAGGUGGGGAGGUCCCGAAGAAACAUGAAUAUUUGGUAAAUAGUGACCAGUUCAUGGUAUUUGAUUGUAUGGACAGUCACGUGUAUGAUUGUACAAAGAACAUGUAUACACGUAUUUGAUUGUGCAAAGAGGAACAUGUAUAUAUGUAUUUGAUAUACAAAGAAGAGCAUGUAUUAAUAUUGCGUUGUAGAAGAACAUAAAAAAAUAACUAAUGACUAUCCAUAUCCACCUUUUAUCCUUGCAACCAAACAAUAAAAAGCGGUUAUCCAUCUCAUCUAAUCUUUCGCAACCAAACGACAAAAACUGGCUAUCCCCAACCAGGUGGUUAAGGAUAUCCUCAGCCAAGCCAACCUCGCCCGUGAACCAAACGCCACCUUAGUCCCACUCUUACUCUCGUCAACACAAGCAUCAAUCACCCUUCAGCUCAGUACAUUCACAACCACAAAGCCUGCGCUCUACACUCGACUAGUAGCUACUAAUCUUCAGUCAUCACCUAGUCUAGAAUCAACAGAUCAGUCAGCGGUGCUGUCUCCACCAACACAGAGAGGGAUCAUGCCGGGUGCGGCAAAGGCGUCUUGGAUGGUGGUGAUGAGCGUUGGCGCGGUGGAGGCGCUCAAGGAUUAGGCCGGCCUCUGCCGGUGGAACUACGCGCUUAGGUCCAUCCACUUGGUAGCGAAGGCGAGGGCCAACAUCCGCGGCGGCGUCUCCCAGGGCGGCAAGAAGCUUCCAACCUCUGUGGCGGCGGUGGCGGAGAGGCGGCGAGUGGAGAAGGAUGAGAAGGGGCUGAGGACGCUGAUGUAGCUCAGCUGCCGGGGUCCCAAUUAGCAGCUGCAACUUGGUAGUUGCUACUACCUAGGCGCGUCUGUGUUUGCUGUAACAACGAUGGCCUGAAACAUGUCUGGCUUCCCGUGGAAUCCCCCAUUGUAAAAUACCACCAUAAUGAUGAUGAUGGUGAUGAAUGAUGUUACUUGAGCUCCAUGUCUAUUUGCUUAGUUAUUAUCUUGGUGAGGAAUAUGCAUCCAUGCUCUGAUUUGGUGUCUGCUUACAACUCAGAAAGAACUUACAGCUACACUUAAACAACAAAUCAUAGCAAAUUGUAACGUUCAAUGGGUCAAGAGCCUAGUGGCAGCACACUGAAUAGGUUCAGAUCAAUUUUUCAGUGUCCAACAGGAGGAUUUGGGGUUGGGGAUACAUGGACAUCAAGAAGAGGAGAGGAGAUGCAUUCCCGGAUCCAGACCAAUCUUUAGUUACAUCAGCCUCCUACCUGGAUACAGCCAACUCAUGCACACGCAACACCACCCUUUGCUAAACAUGUCGGGCUGUCUCGGUUCCCCUUUGAUCUUCAGUUAAUGCAGUGGCCCGCCCCACAGGCUCGACACAAACAUGCUGAAUUUCUUCAGUAUGCGGCACAGGCGAUGAAUCCUCGUAUCUAUACUCAAGGUGUCAUCAAGCAACCAAUCCAUUUACAGUACUUAUCAGUUUUGUUGGUGAACCUGUCUUCGGUUGCUUUGUUAGUCCGAAACAAGACCAAACGAGAAGCACUUCGAAUUGGUUGAAAGUACUUUCUUUCUUCUUCUUUUUCGCGCAUAGUUUGAAGAAAGUACUUUCUGUGGCUCUAGUCGACCUGAUGCGCGACGAGGUCGAAUGAAUAUAUUUUGAAUUUCUUUGCUGUAUACUUUAUUCGCUAAGCUGAUACAGUAGUAAUCACUGUCCAAAAAAUCUUCCGAUUCAGCGAUUUAUCGUCCGAUUUAUCGCUACUCUUGGGGUGACCGAUAAGAUUAUGCCUUAUCUUCACCGUUUAUCGUUUGAGCCGAUUUAUCGCUAUGACAAGCGAUUUAUCAGGAAUCUGCCGAUAAAUAGGACCUAUUAAUAGCACUAUGUUUGCAAAAGUUAUGUUUAUUUGCAUUUUGUGGACCUUGUUACGCAAUAUGUAUUGUUGUGCUAUUUUGCUUGUCAUUAUAAGAGGAUUCAAAGGCUGGGAAUCAAGGUAACACUUUUGUCCAAUAUUUUUUUGGUUUUGAAUUUAGCAUAUUUUAGUAUUGGGAACCCCGAAUUUGAAAAAAAAAUGACAGAUUAAUAGUCGACCGAUAAAAUCGAUUAAUCUAUCGAUUUCCGAUUAGUCUCUAAUCCCCAGCUGACCGAGACGCUAACGCUAAGCGAUAUCCUCAACAUUGGUACUAAUUCAACUAAACAUGAUACAGCUCCAGCUUCAGAUUAAACCACAUGUGCACAUUAAUAAGUAAAUGUGCUUUCUGAUCACAGCUAUCAUAGAGUGAGGCACAUCAAAGUUACUCAAUAUCUUUCUUCUUCCAAUGAAAGAUCAACACUUUCGAUUUUGCCCUAGGGCCAUGAAACCAAAAGAGAAGAAAAACAAAUAAAAUCAGACAUUCAGUUAAUAGGUACAAUCAGGUGCACAGUAGUUCCUUCCAAUUAAUAAGCUGAUCGAUAUAAGAUAAAAAAUACGUACAACUAAGAUAAACAAAUUGUCCUCCACAAACUUGUACUAAGAUAUAUGUUAGCCGCUUAUGUUAUAGAACUCUCUAGCAAAAUAUUCAAACGUAAUAAAAUAGACGAAUAAAUAAAAUUAUUUUUUAUAUGAAUGUUCAUCUAAUUUUUCUCUUAUAUGGAUGGAAUUUAACUUACUUAAAUGUCCCAAACAUAUUUGGAAAAAUAAUAUAAGUUUAACAACAAAUUGGAGUUGGUUUGUCAUUAUUGUAAUCUUAAUGGCUUUUUUUAAUAAUAUUUAACUCUAAGUUACUACUUGGGGUUCAUGUUGUUAGGUAUAGCAGACAAUUUUUAAAAAAUGUUGUACUCUCUCCGAUGAAAAUAAGUGUCUUAAGUAAAACUACGACACUAACUUUGGAUCGGAAGAGUAUCAAUUUAAAACAAAAUUAUGUAUAGUAAAUUUGAUAUAAUAAAUAGAAGUGUUGUCUAUAAAUAAGUUAUAACCAUUGGUGGAACCAGAGAUCGAGGUUUACUGGAGUGACGGGCGAUGACAUUCCUAGAUUAGUUUGCUCCCAUUGGUCACUAUGUACGGGUGGUAUGAAUCACUACCGGAGACCCAGGGCGAUCGACUAUGCUCAACCCAGCGCUUUAUUCUUCCAUUGAUGAUAACCUUAUUUCUAAACUGCAUGCACAAUUAAAAUUGAUUAUUCUAAUCAAUCCUGCAUACUUUCAUCAUGUAUUGUGAUUCUUUUUUCGAUGCCUUAGUUAUGUCAUCAUUGUUAUCUUCAACACUAUUUAAAAAGACGUAAUAUUCCGUCUUUAGUCUUACGUCUUUUGUUUCGUCCAACCUCCCACAUCCCUGCAACCCCACAUCGUCUCCCCUUCUUUUGUCUAUCUCUGGUUUAUUUUCAUGUCACUCCCUUUCCUGGUUCGAUAGGAUGCAACCCACACACCAUAAUCAAUCACUAUCGACGCCUCCCACACUCUUCUCACUUCUCCCAACCUUGGGUUUCCAGACUCCACUACUAUAGAACCGAAUAACACCGGCAAAUCAUAACAUCAUUGCUGUGCCAACGGCCUAUCAUUAGUUCCGGGUCGGUAAUGACUUUAUCAUCACUAACAAUCCCAAUGGAAUGUGGCUGAUGAUGACUACCGUCUGAAUGGUUGGCUGAGAAACCAAAAAAGUUGGGGUACACCAGCUGCCAAAAAUGAACCAGGAUAAACCUCAGCUUUUAAAGAAGUGUUGGUUUAAAAUACCCCUUUGGUUAGAUUCCAAUUUUUUAGCCAAAAGUUGGCAGCACAAACUGAAACAAACACCAAUUGCCAAAAAAGAACUAGGAAAAACCUCAGUUUUUAAAGAAGUGUUGGUUGUUUAGAAUACCACUUUGGUUUAAAUUCCAACUUUUUUAGCCAAAAGUUGGCAGCUCAAACUGAAACAAACUCAGGCUUGUUGUCUCACUACUAUCACAGGCUUGAGGCAUCUGCCGUCGGACAUGUGCUUUUCUCGGAGUCUGUGUCGCCUCAGUUUGUCCGGAUGCGGAUGCCGGGCAUGGAGCAACUCGUUGCCUGCACGUUGUACGCCCCUCAAGCGGGUGAGCCGUCAUACGACGAUGUGGACUGACAAAUGUUGGAGAUAAGCAACCAAUCCAUUUAGUACUUAUCAGUUUUGUUGAUGGACCUGCCUUUGGUUGUUUUGUUAGUCCAAAACGAGACCAAACAAGAAGUACUUCGAAUUGGUUGAAAGUACUUUUUGUGGCUCCAGUCGACCUGAUGUACUAAUAUGUUUGGAUUCCUUUGUUGUAUAUUCGCUAAAAAAAAUUGCGGGUGUAUAUUCCCGAAACUGAAGCAAUAGUAAGUCAACUAAACAUGAUACAACUUCAGGUUAGACCACCUUAAAAAGGAAACAUGCUUUCUUUAUCACAACUAUCACAGCGAGGUACAUCAAAGUUACUCCCUCCAUUCCAUAAUAUAACAUCGUUUUGCCAACUAAAAUAGCUCGCAAAACGAUUCUAUAUUGUGGGACGGAGGGGUACUCCGUAUCUUUCUAGUUUCCACUAAAAGAGCAGCAAUUUGGAUUUUGCCCUAGGACCAUGGAACCAAAAUAGAAGAAAAAUAAAUAAAAUCAGUCAUUCAGAUAAUAGGUACAAUCAGGCGCACAGUAGUUCCUUCCAAUUAAUAAGCUGAUCGAUAUAAGAUAAAAAAUACUUGCAACUAAGAUAAACAAACUGUGCUCGACAAACUUGUACUAACAUAUUUCUUAGACGUUUAUAUUAUAGAAUUCUAUAGCAAACUAUUCAAAGGUAAUAAAAUAGACUCAUAAACAAAAUUAUUUUGUAUAUGAAUGCUACUUCUAAUUUUUCUCUGAUAUGGAUGGAAUUUAACUUAAUUAAAUGUCCCAAACAUAUUUGGAAAAUAUAAGAUAAGUUUUACAACAAAAUAGAGUUAGUUUAUCAUUAUAGCAAUGUCAAUGGUAAUUUUUUGUGGAUAAAUGUUAACUAUAUUUGGCAUUUUUGUUGUUAGGUAUAGUAGACAAAAAUUGUUGUUUUAAAAAAAGCAAUUUAAAACAAAAUAAUGUAUAGAAAAUAUGAUAUAUAAUAGAAAGUAAUUUUUUGGCAUAAAUAAGUUAUAACCCAUUAGCGAAACCAAAUCAAGUUUUGUGGAGGUGACGCACAACGACAUUCCUCGAUUAGUUUAUUCCCAUUGGUGAAUAUGUACGGGAGGUAUGAAUCUGCAUCGGAGACCAAGACAACAGACCAUGCUUACCCAAGUGGUGAAUCUGCCACUAGUGAUAAUCAUAUUUCUAAACUGUAUUAACAAUUAAAUUUGACCAUUCUAAUCGAUCGUCUAUGCUUUCACCAUGUUUUGCAAUUUUCCUCUUAAUAUGUGUUGACCUUAAUUAUGUCAUCAUUAUUAUCUUCUAACACCAUCUAGAAAGACUUAAUAUUCCGUCUCAAAUCUUAUAUCUUCUCUUUCGUGCGACCCCCCACAUCCCUGCACCCCCACAUCGUCUCCCUUUUUGUCCAUGCCCGCUUUAUUUACGUGUGCCUCCCAUUCUUGGUACGCUAGGACGCAACCCACACACCACAAUCGAACCGAUGCCUCCCUCACCCUUCUUACUACCUCCCAAUCUAGGGUUUCCAACCCCCACUACUACAGAACUGAAUAUUACUGACCGGCCAAAUCAUAUCAUCACUGAUGCGCCAACGACCCGUCAGUAGUUCCUGGACGGUGAUGACUGUAUCAUCACAAACGAGCCAGGUGGCCGGUCAAUGAAGAUGACUAGAAGCUGAAUGGUUGGUUGACAAGCCAAAAAGUUGGGGUACACCAGCCGCCAAAAAUGAACUAGGGGGAAACCUUAGCUUUUAAAGAAGUUGAUUGUUUAGAAUACCCCUUUGGUUCAGAUUUCAACUUUUUUAGCCAAAAGUUGGCAGCUCAAAGUGAACAAACACCAGUUAGCAAAAAUGAACUAGGGGAAAUCCAGCUUUUAUAGAAGUGUUGGUACCUUAGAACACCCCAGCCUUUGGUUCAGAUUCUAGCCUUUUUAGCCAAAAGUUGGCGGCUCAAACUAAAACGAACACAAGCUUGUGGUCUCACUAUCAUCACAAGAGCGUGUGGUAUUGUGGUAGAACUCUCCGGUUGAAUUUGUGAUUGUGGUGACCCUUGCGAAAUGUCAAAACAGUCAAAAUUUUGUAUUUGCCACACUGAAAGAGAUCUGAACAAUGUGGAGACAACAGUUUUGCGUACGUGACAACAUAGCUGCCACAAACAAUUGACAAAACUCAGAAAUAGAGGAAAUAAAGAAAUAAAUAUUUCAUUUUAUGGAAACUCAGCAAAUUUCAAUAAUAAGUCUAGUAAAUUUAUUAUCUUUGAGUAUUAAUGAAACAAAUAGAAAUCCAGGAUUACAUUUAGAUAAAACUUAAAAAAACAGAAGGAAAUAAACAAAAAACUCUGAUAUUCUAGAAAACAUUAAAAAUAUGAGGAUAUUAAAAUAAAAAUAGGAGAAAAUUACCACCGCUUUAUCUCAACCAAACGGCUCUGAGGGGGUUCAUUGUGACCUGCCUCCGAGGGAAUGCCAGCCAGUUAACAUAACUGAAACAGAAAGCUUCUAAUUUUCAUCUAUCUCUAUGUUUUUCAUAACAUUUUUUAUUUUUUGCAUAUUUAAAUUCCUGAAAUAUUUUAUAAUGGUUUUUCUCUUCAUAUAUUUCUUGACUGAGUCGAAUUUAUUUUCUCGCCGAGCUGCCAAGGAAUUGGCCAUGUUAGCAUUAAAAUUACUUUCAGUGAAGCAACAUGCUAAAUUGGGACGGUUCUCGUACUACGACUGUGUCAUAUAGAUGUUCAGUACUCCCUGUCUCCCUCUGCCAAAACUUAUAAGUGGCUAUUGUAGUAAAGAAAAUUUGUUUUUUCUAAGUUGUGCAUGGAUUAAAGUUCUAUAAAAUUCUUAAUUUAUUUUCAUGCCGAUAGCAAAACAGCAGUAUGAAGGAGUCAAAAUUAGAUGAUGAUUAUUAUUUCUUAUUUGAAAAUAGAAGUCUUUCUAUUUUUGAUGUGCCUGAGAAACCAUGGGAGGGCCAUUUGAAUUAUUGAUGCUAUUUCUAGGAGACAGGUUCAGUGACUCGCAAUAAGAAAUUCAAUUAUGCUCGUUGGAUCUUGACACAGGUUAUUGUCAAUGCGUCGUUCCGAUAUUAGAGCAUCUCUAGCAGACCCGCAAAAUCCCAAUCCACAUAAGUGUUUUUUGCAGUUCGUGGAAAAGUCCAUAUGCAGGCCGGCACGGGCGAGGUCAGACUCGGAUCCUGCAAAAUGGACCCGUAAAAAAGGAUAUUCGGCAAAUAUGCUCUUUUACGGGUCGGCUACGCGGGGUCUGCUCAGGCACCGCCGCGUUGACCCACAAACCGAAUACACCCAAUUCACGAAUUUGACAUCGGUUCUAACAAAUAAGUUCAAAUUCAAACAAUAGAACACAGUUCACGCGCAAAUAAAAACUUAAGUUUUGUAGGACAAACGCAAAAGAUGGUCUUGCAGAAGUGACGACCACGUCUGGCAUCAUCUUGGUCGAUCUUCACUCCGCGCCAUCGAGUCCAUGGAGUUCAUCGGAACCACCGAAUCCAUCUCCGAUGCUUGUUCCAACUCCCGCACCGAAAUCAUCGACAUUGGUUCCAAACCCCGCUGAGAAAACCUCUUCGGCACUGUAACACACACUAGCCGAUGCAACCAUUCUCUUCUUUAAGAUUUCUCUUCUUGCCAUAUCAUGCCAUUCUUUGGUGAGGUCGUCCAUGUCAUUGCGGUUCAUUGUGAUGAUCUUGUUCUCUUCGGCGAGCAACUUGGACAUGGCUUUGUUUUCAGAGGCACAUGCUCUUCUCUCCUCAAUGGCCGCUUUGCGCCGCCCCUCUUCCUUGAGCAACUGCCAUUUUUUUGCUUCUUCCUUGCCUUCUUCUCGACCAACUCUUUCUUAAUCUCCAACGACUUCAACAACAUCAAAUCAUUUGAUUGCACCAUGGCAUCAAUCUUCUCCCUCAAGCUCGAAGAUUCGUGCUCUCUCUUCAUCUUCUCCUUAGUCUUCUUGUCGACAUCGGGCUUGUUCAAGUUUCUUGGACCAUCAUCAUCCUCAUCUUCAUCCAUGUUAGUAAGUGAACCUCUCUUCGGUGGGGAUUCUUUGUCAAUCAACUUCCACUUCUCGCACUCUUUGAGCAAGUCCCAACAAUGCUCUAGUUUGAAGAAUUUACCUUCCGAAGCUUCCAUGUCUUUGUAUCUAUGUUGGCCAAUUUUGUCCUACACAAUUUGAACAAACUCAAUAUGAUGUGCACAACUUGAACAAAGUCAAAACGAACUCACAUAGUCGGAUUCCACGGUUCCACUUGGAGGUGCAUUGCGUGCUUGCUCCAAGCAAGCUGCCAAACGGCUGCAAAUUGGCUCGAUCACAUCCCAACACCCUUGAAGCGACUGAAAGGUGCAUGGAGUCCUAUUGGGAUAUUUUGCCAUCAUGCGGAAGUAUUGAUCUUCGAUCCUUUGCCAAUACCUCUUGGUGGUUUGAGAAGUUCCCGUGCAUGCAUCAAGAGACCCCGCACUCCAUGCCCUGAUCAAGAUUUGAUCUUCCAAGAUCGUGUAGUUCUUCGAUCUCUGGCUUUUUUCACUUUUUGUUUGCGAUUGCUCAUACGCCCCCUCAUCGAUCUCCUCCACUUCUUCCUCACCACCAUGAUCAUCCACGCCGCCCUCCGUUUCAUUGUAAUCGAAUGCGGCGAACGGGGCUUGAUCGAUGUCGACGGUGUUGGUAUCCAACAAGCUCACGAACUCGGUAGUUGCAUUGUUCGAACCACCGCUAUAGUGAACGACAACAAGUCACGAGCUAUUGCAAAUGGCGAAAAGCAAAGGAAAUUGCCAUGACCAAAGACGCAUACCUACCGGCCAUUUCGUCAAACACCUCGCCUGCGGUGGGAGCAGCACCGUUGAGCGGCAUCGCCGGGGAACCUCUUUCCGGGGCGGAGGGAGUGGAUGAAGGAGGCGGCUUCUUUGUAGCCGGAAUCCUCUUCCUCUUUACGCCGGUGGCCUUCGCGACCUUCUCCGCCGCCGGCCGGGAUCGCGCAGCGGCGUUGGCGCCCGGAGCGCGGGCCUUCGCGGCGGGGGCAGGCGGAUUCCCGCCCUGCACGACCACGUUGCCCUGCCGCUUGCGGGCAGGCGCGAGGUACCUUGGGCGACGGCCGGGCCAACAUGGCCGGCGACGAGAUCCGCCCGAGGGGAUUGAGCGUGCGCGACCUCGACGGUGACGAGGGACAUCACGGAGUCAUCCAUGGCGGCGAAGGACUGCCGAGGAAGAUGCACCGGAGCGGGAGGUGACGGGGCAAUGGUGACGGAAGGUGGGGGGAGCGGGAACGGCCGCUCGGAAAUGUCCCUCCCGCCAAAUCUCGCUGCGGAUAGGGGCCGAGCUCGGAUCGUCCUCCCAGCCUGUGAAUCUAGAGGUCGUGGGAGAUCUUUUGCCGCGCCCCGCAAAAAAAUUUAAGGGUCGGCUGCGAAUACGGUGUCUGAUCGGACAGGUUUUUCCGCCCCAACCCGUAUUUUGACGGUUAUUUUGCGGGUCGAGACGGUACGUGGGGUCUGCUAGAGAUGCUCUUAUCUCUGCGGACUUGCGUCGAUCCGAAACUGUCGCAAUGGACAAAGCCGCUACUUCUUCCGCCGGGAAUAAACAAAACGACGUGAGGUGAGCAGCCCACUGCACCGGAAUGACAGCGAGAGGUGAGCAAACUGAUUCUGAAUUCUGAAAGCACCCGGUAUCCUGGAAAACCAACGUCCGCUGCCGCCUGUUUUCCUCUGGCCCUCACGUGUAUAUAACACCAUCGGCUCCCACUCUUCUUCUCAUCAACACAAACAAGUAUCGAUCAGCUUGCUUCACCACCACAAAAUCCACACUCCACUGCUAUCAAGCUUCAAGCAUCAGAGAGUUCAGGCAGACCAUUGAGCGGCAUCAUCUCCUCCAACGCGGCGAGAAGAACAGAGUUGCAGAGAGAUCAUGGCGGGUGCGGCGAAGGCGUCAUGGAUGGUUGCGAUGAGCGUGGGCGCCGUGGAGGCGCUCAAGGAUCAGGCCGGGCUCUGCCGCUGGAACUACGCGCUCCGGUCCAUCCACCGGACUGCCAAGGCCAGGGCCAACGUCCGUGGCGGCGUCUCGCAGGGCGCAAGGCAGCUUCCGGCUUCCGCAGCGGUGGCGGAGAAGCGACGAGCAGAGAAGACCGAAGAGGGGCUGAGGACCGUGAUGUACCUCAGCUGCUGGGGUCCCAAUUAGUACUACUAGCUACCAAGAGGUGUUUUCUCCUAGCUCCAGCAUCUGUUAGAAACUUCUAGCAACAACCACGCCGUGUGACUUGGCUGGUUAAUUCCCUGCCGAUUAUAAAUACGUAUCACGAUGAUGAUGAUGAAACCUUUCCCCACUUCGAGUUCACAUUAUCCUUCUUCAGAAAGGUUUGAAUUGCCUUUCAAACUGAUCUGUUUGUUUCAAAUUCUUUGGGAAGAUUGUUGUUUCGAGUUGGGCGCAAGCUUUGCCUGUUGCUCUGUUCGAUGGGCAGAGCAUUGAUCCUGCUCCAUUUUCCGCCAGCUUGUGCAGAUGAUAAUCAAAACCUUCUUCUUUUUUUGCGAAUUAGUGUUGUAGGUUCAGUUUUAUAAACAUAUGAAUAUGAUACUACCUCCGUCUCGGUGAAUAAGUCAUUCGCGUAGUUCUAGGUCGAUGAUUUAACUAUCUAAAUAUGGAUUAUGUGUAUAAAAAAUAUAUAUUUAGAAAUUACAUCCGUGUAGAAAUCUAGUGAUAUACUUUUCAUAACAUAUAACUCAUAUUUAAUUGCUCAAAUCAAUGACCUAGAACUACGUAAAUAACUUAUUCAUCUAGACGGAGGUAGUAGUACAGUAUGCAUCUUUCCACUAUUUGUGCAACCUCACAUGCGUCUUCUUUGUUGUGUUCGUCCAUCAGACGUACGCGGGACUGUUACUACCAAACAAGCGCUGAAAGUGGAAACCAUGUGUUGCUCCUCUGGUUCCCCCUCCCCCCGGCCAGCUCUCAUACUCGUACGUGUUCUCACUGUCACAUGUCCACAACAUGAGCCUGAAGCCCUGAGGUGAUAAAGUUUCUCCAGUUAAGUCGGUGAAGAAACUUACAAUAUUUGGCUACUGCACUGAAAAUGUGAUUGCUUGCUAUAGGACCAGCGCAUCAGACCAGCCGAUGAAGACAAGUGUAGAUCGGAAGGAUUCAACUUGCAGACACACAGACCUAGACGAACGAAGAUCGGAUCCAUCGAAGACAAACGCCGACCGUAUCCCAUGAAAUCCGUUGGAAACACACGUCCACACGCCCUCCGACGAGCUUGAAGCAUCAACCGGGCGUGGGCUAGGCAGGGAGAACCUUAUUUCAUCUAAAAAAAGCAGUCGCCGCCUCAUCUUCUUGAGCAUGGCACAAAUCCUAACAAAACUCUGAAAAGCAUGUAAAAAUGGAGCCCUCCCGCCGGCAAGGGCCGGUAUCCACCGCGCCUCCAUGGUCCAAGGACCAUAGAAGACGAGGCGGACCGGUGGCGGCGCCAGCGAGAGGUAGGGAAACCCUAGACGGGAGUUCGCACAAGAGCGGGAGCGAAGAAUUUUUUUUUGUACAAUUAACAUUCUUGGCUUUACAUGUCACCAGUGGUUAUACCUUUUUAUUAAUUUGCAGGGGCAUGUAUUAUAUAUUUUUUGUAUAUUUUAAUAAAUAUAUAUUUUUCUCCAUCAGUUGUCAAAGUAUAAAACUACAAUGUGGAAAUUUUUUGGACUCCCAGGUCUCCCAAGUGUCAAACGUCUAGAUUUGCAUCUUGACACAUUUAUAGUUGUCUUACCAUAAAGUUGACGCGAUGAUUUUGAAUAUACCGAAUUCAUGUUAUUCCUUCGGGGGAAAAAUGAUUCUCCAACUAUUGUCAAAUCUUAAAUUUGGCUCCAAACAUCAAAAAAAUUCUUUGCCAAUCAAGUAUCAAAAACAUCUAGACUUGGUAUUUUGCCCCAUUGAAAGUGGUUUUGCAUACAUGGUAGCAUAAUCACCACAAUGAUUUUUUUUACAUCACAUGGGAAAGAUGAGAAAAUAGAACAAUAAAAAAUUCAGACAUUUGCUAAACAAUAUAUGUUUAUUUUAGGAAUUUUUUGUCUAUACAAAAAAAAGCAUGGAAAUGAAGAGGUACAGAAAAAAUUGGUCAAAAUGAACGAAUUUGCGAAAAACCUUUUAUAUUUGAAGAUGUAUUAAAACUAAGAGAAUUUCAAAUUUGAAGAAUUAAAUCGAGGAAAUUAAAUCUUUUGAGUUUUAUCAGAUUACAUGGUUUCCUGAAUAUAGUAUAUGAUAAUUAUCCAAUUUCAAAACUCCUGAAAUCUUACCUGAUUCUUUAUGUUUUUCCUAAAAAAUAAUGUGUUAAUUUCCCCAUUUUAUUUGUGUUCUGCCAAUUUUAUUUGCACACUUAGUUACGACAUGUGCAAAACCCCCUCUAUGGCAACUAAAAUAAAUUGCUUUCCAUGAAGCAGUAACUUCGACAAUUCUACCCGCAAAAAAAAAAAACUUCGACAAUCCUGACAUUUUUUAGCCUACGAACAAUAGUCCUACAGUAUUCUAAGACAACUAAUGUUACUACUCGCAAGUGGCAAUAACAUUUGAAUCUGCUUACUGAAUAUUUACACACAUCACCUAUCCUUUAUUCAUAUCUUAUCUCUGUCGGCUUGUUCCAAUCCCAGACUCUAUCGCAAUGGCCAAAACCACCACUUCCACAGAGAAUAAACAAACGACACGGCAACGAUGGUUGCGGCGUGAAGAAGCAGAGUAGCAGCAGAGUGAUGACUCCAGAAGCACCCGGUUUCGUGGGAAAACCAACGUCCGCGACCACUGUUUUGCUCCAGACCUCCCGUAUAUAACCACGUCCCAGCCCCUCUCCCCCUCUCAUCAACACAAGCAUCUACACUCACAAAGUCCGCGCUCUGCACUCUACACUCGACAACUAGCUACUCUACUACUCUUCAGUCAUCACCUACUUCAGACCACCAACACACAGAGAGAUCAUGGCGGGUGCGGCGAAGGCGUCUUGGAUGGUGGCGAUGAGUGUGGGCGCCGUGGAGGCCCUCAAGGACCAGGUCGGCCUCUGCCGCUGGAACUACGCCCUCAAAUCCAUCCACCGGGCAGCCAACGUCCGCGGCGGCGUCUUGCAGGGCGCCAAGCAGCUUCCGGCCUCUGCUGAGGCGGCGGCCGAGAAGCGGCGAGGGGAGAAGGCCGAGGAAGGGCUGAGGACGGUGAUGUACCUCAGCUGCUGGGGUCCCAAUUAGAAGCUGCAACUUGGUACUAGCUAGGCGUGUGUGUGUUUGCUGCAACAACCAUGGCCUGGAACCACGAUGUAAAAACUUGGUACUAGCUGGCUUCCCGAGGAAUCCCCCAUUGUAAAAACCCCGAUGAUGAUGAUGACAAAUUUCUGUUACUUCAGUUCAUAUCACUCUCCUUAUCUGUUUGCCUUUUUGUUAUCUUGAUGAGAAAUAUGAAUAGAUGCUUUACUUUAGUUUCAGCUAUUCCCUUGUCUUUGAACCCGGCCUUUUGGUCGUAUGUCAUUACAACUUACAAGGACUUCAUUUUUUUACCUGAGUUCAUAGCAAACAUGCUGUAUCUCUUCAGUC
rnacentral:lncRNA from 1 species